rnacentral:rRNA from 1 species
UACGUAGGGACCGAGCGUUGUCCGGAAUCAUUGGGCGUAAAGAGCGUGUAGGCGGCCGAUCAAGUUCCGCGUGAAAUCUCACGGCUCAACCGUGAGCAGCCGUGGAAAACUGGUCGGCUAGAGUGCGGGAGAGGAGAGUGGAAUUCCUGGUGUAGCGGUGAAAUGCGUAGAUAUCAAGAGGAACACCAGUGGCGAAGGCGAGUCCCUGGACAACACCUGACACUGAGGCACGAAAGCCGGGGGAGCAAACAGG